GGGAGGAUGGCCGAGUGGUUUAAGGCGGCAGAUUUAAGUCAUUCAUAUCAUACAAGACCUAUUCUCUGCUUUCCGUUGGAAGCGUGGGUUCGAACCCCACUCCUCUCA